AACCGUUCUUUAGCCUUAGAGAGUGUGUGAAAUUUUUACUGUGUAGAAGUACAGGGGGAUUUUAGUGUAAAAAUUGGAACACUUAAUGGAACACUUUUUAAAAUUUUCAAGUCAAAUGUUAGUAUUUGAAACCCUCCUUAGAGUCACUCUUUUGUUGGAAAGAUACCCAAUUGAAGAUGAAAAGCAUAAGUCCAUAGGGAGGAAGGUGAGAGGCCGCUGGUGCCUGGCCUGUCUGGGAAGUGCUGUUGAAAGAAAGAGAGACUGAGGAGAAUUAAAAUGCACUUAUAAACUUGGAUUCACGUUUGUUAGCAACUUGAUCCAUAAAUAAGCAUGAAUUA
rnacentral:lncRNA from 1 species